rnacentral:piRNA from 1 species
UGAAAUCAACAAAUGUUGCUUCAGUGCUU